CGGGACGGGUGAGUAAUGUCUGGGAAACUGCCUGAUGGAGGGGGAUAACUACUGGAAACGGUAGCUAAUACCGCAUAACGUCGCAAGACCAAAGAGGGGGACCUUCGGGCCUCUUGCCAUCGGAUGUGCCCAGAUGGGAUUAGCUAGUGGUGGGGUAACGGCUCACCUAGGCGACGAUCCCUAGCUGGUCUGAGAGGAUGACCAGCCACACUGGAACUGAGACACGGUCCAG
rnacentral:rRNA from 1 species